CGUGUUAUAAAUGGAAAUAGUAUAGUUUGAAAAUCCCUCCUCCUCUAAUCCAUCGUUGAACAGCACACCAAAUAUUGGCUAUAUGCAUUUUGUUGGGCAUUGCGAGAACGAUUGAAUUGGGUGCAGCUUCCUGCGCUUCUGUAAUGGGUUGUGGCUUAGAUUUCCUCUUCCCACAAAGAGACGAUGGGUUGUGGGUAACAGUUUCAUUUAUGUCUGAUCCUAGAGGUUUAUUUUUAUGGGCUUUACGAUGUGUGUACACGCAUUCUUCCAAAUAUGAUUGGUGCAACCUAUAAUAUCUAUAGCAGGACUCUUACCGUCAACAAUGCAAAGAAACGGACCGAUAUACUAUUGUUUAAAGGGGAUACAAAUGGUUACAUGCGAAUUCUUCGGCCCAAUUCCUUAUAAGAUGUAUCUCUAACUUGGCAUUUUAGUUGUCCAUGAUGGUUUCUCUUCUACUGCUAGGCAUGAAAUAUUUUCUAUUGGGUGAAUUUUAUUAUAUUUGGGAGUGUUCUCAACCAUUGUACUUCUAUUUGUCCUAAAGCAUAGUGGGGAUCAACCAUGAGCUCUCAAUUAGUGCUGGUGGGAUAUCCACAGAACGGGUUUUCAGAUUCUCAAGCAACAUCAUUCUUUUUUUUUUCAUGAAUAUGCAGCAUUCUAUGAUUGAUAGUUGUUUGCUAAUUGUGCUGUGUCUCUUUUUGUGAAUGUUGCUAACAGAAACUAGAAGUGGAUCAUCAGUUAUGUUUCCUUAAAAAGUCACAUGUAAUCAUGACAUCUUUUAAGUAGGUAGUUGCCAGGCACCAUUUCUGGAAGCAAAAUCUCUUUUUGUGAACCUUGUUGGGACAAAUGUUAGAACAUAAUCCAAUGAUUACAUUUUUAAUGCUGUAUGUGUUGCAUGAGGAAGGGUUUGUUUAUCUGGAUAUUGAACUUUUCAACUCCAAAUCCAAAAGAACUGCUACAAUCUGCUUAGGCAGGCGUGUUGGUUUUUCCUGAUGUGUUUAUUCUUCAGUCACAUAGGCAGAGUUCAGAGUGUUUCUUUUCCCCUUUUCCUUUAAUUAGUCUGAUGAACCUCUCUUGAUAACAAUUUUGUAGCCAUUUUAUGCAAAUGGAUCCAAACUGGACCUUAUUGCUGAGGAUUUCAUUAUUUCAAGUUUGUGUUGCUUUGGCCAAACCACCCAUUAAAUUGUUCUUCAACUUCUGGUUCGCAUAUUCAAGUAAAUGAGACUAUCCUUUAGAGUUCUUUUAAUAUUGCACUUCAACUAGUCAAAAAGGCAGAGUAGGGAACAAUUGAAUAGCUCUUUUUAUUUGCUGUCAGAUAUCCUGGGUAAAGGUUUUUCAGAUUCUGAGACAAGAUCAUUGUGUUAUGAAUGGACAAGAAUAGAGUUUUUCAUUAUUUCUCUUUCGCUAGUUGAGUUGCACCUUGGUUCAUGAAAUAAAUGGACGACAAUGGGAAGUGGGAACUAAAUCCUCCGGUCCUUAAAAUUCAAAGGUAGUAAGAACAUAUUUUAUCCUGUUUUAAGUUGAAUACCCUUCCUUGGGAGCAAAGGGAGGGAGGGACUUCUUCUGUAAAUCAUAUAGUUAAAACUGGGCCAGUAAAUUAUGGUUUCUUCCAAGAUUAGGGGCUUACCUUUAAGUUAGUGAUUGCAAAUAUUUUUCGUGGACACUUUUAACUAUAUAGUGUAAUUUGACUGUGGUAGUUACAUCCUCUAACAAGUUAUAACUAGUUAUGUUUCUUUACGAUUUUUCUUGUUUUAUGUUAUAUUCUGCUUUAUGCUGAAGCUUUUGAUUCUCUAAAACCGUGUAAACCCAGUCACGUCUUUUUUUAUGCCUUAUGUUCAUAUUAGAGUAACAUGGAUUAGGACAAGUUUUAAGCAUUAGCAGUUUUUUGAACAACUCAUAUGGGAGAUAAGACCCAGGAAGUGAAAACUUAGAAUUAAUUCUUAAAUUGAACCAAUAGAACUUUGAAAAUGGAUUAUCUGCAUUUGACAAUUUAUUUAAUUUGCAUAUGAGUGGAAGAUUAGUUUGGCUUUUGGAGUGAUUGGCUUCCAUAAUGUAACACUCGAAACUUCUUUUUAAGGAAUAUGUACAACUUAAACAAGUCUAUCAUAGGUUCUUCCAUUGCAAUAUCUUGAUCCUUACUUCUAGGACAAGAAUAGAGUUGUAAUCUUGCCAUGUUAGUUAAAAUAAUAUUGUCAUUGCCUAAUGUAUUUUACUCCUUGUGAAUAUAGAUAUGAUGAAGUCUAGGAAUUUUAAAUUAUGUGAAGUAAUUUUUUGGCAAGAUUAUGUUUGUUGUUCCCAUGUUAUUAGAAAUGUUUUGUGCUUCGUUUCAUCAGAAGGUGCAUAAAAAUAAUAACAUCAAUAUUUUUCAUUUUCUUUUUAAAAUUCUUUCUACAUUUUUACUUCAAUUCAACACUUGACCAUAAUAAUUUUACUCAAUGGAGAAAUAAGUGAGUUCAAGUAGUGGGAUAGAAUGAAAGGAGGUAAACCAAAAAUGAUGUGGAUUGAUGUUGGAGAUAGUUAUUUUCUGUGGCAACAACUAAAGAAAGGUUUUGCCCUUGAAUGUGAUUCAACUCAAUUAAACCUUUAGUCAAAUUUGCAUUAUUAGAUGUGCUUCUUCAAUCAUUACCACUCAAUUGAUCUAAAAAAGUAUAAAUGGAAAAUAAAUUUUAUCUUACCUGAUGUAUAUCUGCUUUUUUUUUUUUUUUUUGCAUAUUUUGAAUUAUCUUUUUAUAUUGUAUUAUUGAGUUUGCAAUUUGCUUCAAUGUGGAGUUGCUCAACUUUUAUGUUGUGACCUGGUCACAAUAAGUGUGUUUGGAUGGUGAGAAAGAGAGGGAAAGUAAAGAAGAAUGGGUGAGAAACAGAGGAAAGAGAUCCAAAGAGAAGAGAGGAAAGACAAGUUUUAUUCAUUGCCCUUCCAAACUGAUAAGAGAAUUCGUGGCUUUACAACUUCAUUUUCUAGUUUGACUUCAGCUCCUGCAAGAUUUACAUAUUAUUAAGGAAACAUAAAACUGAUAGGCGAAAGAGUAAACUUUUUGUUUGUGUUUACAUCUAUACUUUAACCUUUUGUGGAUUUUGGAAGAUCUUAGAGGAGAUGCGGCACUAACAUUGCUAGUUUGCAAAGGAAGAUAUUAAAGGAAAUGCAGCACUAGCAUUGCUAGUUUGCACGUGUACCUUGUUCAAAUGAAUUGAUUAGUUCAGAACUUCAGAUUAUUCAUAAACCCUGCACAACCAUGAAAACAGUCUUUAUAUGAAUGAAAAUCGAUCAAUGAAUGAUGUAAAUGAGAUGCUUUUAGUUAAUCUAUAAACUUGUAAACUUCCAACAUAUUUUGUGGAGUAUGGGUGAAAAGUAAAAGAUAAGACAGAAAAUUUUUCUUUAGGUCUCAUUGAGUAAUGAAUGAAUUGAGCAACACCACAGUUCACAUAUUUUUUUUUGGCAAUAUGAGUGCUUGAGAAGGGAGAACAGAAAUGUGGAGGAUGUCAACCAUUAAAUUAAAGUAAGAUGGGUGAAAUGGAAAAUUGAAAUAUGAGUUUGAUGUAAUUGCAUAAUACUAGCUAAGUUGAAGCCUUGAAGGGGAAAUUUUCAUGAUCACAAUUCAUUAGCAAAGAUGCAUGGUAGUGAAUGUUGGGUAGUAAAGAAACCACACUUCAAUAAAGUUGGUAUGCCAAAAAUAAGGAUGUUUGUGCAGUCAAGGAAAGCUAGAUUUAGGAAUUAUUUUGGUUUAAUUUUUAAUUGCGAAAUUAAAAUCUUUAUAUUUUCUAGUAUAAUUUCUAGUAGAAAGUUUAGGUUUCUAUUAUUUUGUAAUUCUAUUGUAGUUAGGAAUAUUUAAAAAGUUACAGCAUUGGUUUAGAAUUUUCCUAGUUAAUAUUGGUUUAGUAUUUUUUCUACUUUGGGAUUCCUAAUCCUAGUAGGAUUAUUUAUUAUCCUAGUAGUAAGAUUAUUUAUUAGUCUAUAAAUAAUUGCGUAACUUAGGUAUUUUCUAGAGAGAUUUGCUAUUCUAUUUAUUUAAAUUUUAAAUUGAAGUUUCAAGCUUUGUGCUUCGUCCUUUGUGUUUGUUAGUUCAUUUAUGGUUCUACAUCAGUUUGGCAUAUGAAUGCACUUUUAGUAUGGUGGAAGUGGCUCCUAUGGAGGGAAAGUUGAGAGAAGAGAAAUUGAAAUAGUUUUGACAUGUAUAUUAUAGAUGAACAUAUGUGCUUACAAGGAAAUCUAGGUUGAAAUGGGGGGAAAAGGGAAAAAGUAUUUAGUGGGCCUAGAUCUUUUUAAAUUUGUAGCCCUAACCCAGGUGGAUAGGAAAAUGGCCAAUCCCAAUCAAUGUGGGAUUGAAGUUUAGUUGAGUCUAGUAUUAUUACUCAGGUAGCAUCUAGGUCUACUAACAUAACAUGUAUUUGUUCUUAGGAAAUGCAUAGAAGCAUUGUGUUGGCAAAAGUACUAAUAAUGUAACAUUAUUAUUAUUAUUAUUAUUAUUAUUUGCCAAGGACAUGGAGUGUUAUGUGAAAUUUACAUCAGCAAAGUUAUUGAAGCAAAUGCUGUAUUCUUUUGCCAAUGAAAUGAAAUAUAGAUUUCAGUUAAGGUAUCAUAAUAUCAUCAUUGGUAUCUGGACCAAACACAACUCUAAUUGUGGAACCUAAAGAAUAGAAGUGCUUAGAUACUGACCGCUCAUUUCAUUGACAACUGUAUUACAGCACUUCCUUCGUGGGGCAAAGGGCAAUAUUUGCCAAUCCACCUCAACUCUAGUGUUCAGAGGGAUCUUUUAAGGCUUAGAGUUAUUCUUGUUUCUUACAUUCCUAUCAUAAUGAUUGUGUCCAUAUUUUUCAAUAUCUUGUUAGUAUCAAUUGUGCACCAAUAAAUGUAUGAUUGGAGGUGAUUUUAUCAAUAAAUAACCAUUUGAUUACCGUUUCUGAUUCUAACAGAAGAUGCUAUUUGCACCAGAAAAGCAACAGCAGGGACGCAAUGUCUAUAAGCAUGGCAACAAUAUGUUAGCAGAGGUGCAAGUAUUGCCAGAGGGUCAUAUGCAGAUUUUCUUUGCACAAAAACCUCCCAUUGUGGGCCAAAGUGGGCUUGCCACUCUUCCUGUGUAGUGUAGUGGGGCAGAUAUUGCUUGAAACCAAGGCGAGCUGUGCCACAGAAUUCUAGAAUUCUCCUGUUCUGAUUUAGGAUAUGUUCUAAGCCAUCAGUUCCUGUAGAAGAGGGAACGGCAGAGGAAAGGAAUGCCACCAAGUAGAAAAUAUCUUCUUCUGGAAUAACAGCAGAAGUUCUGUUGUCCCAUCUGAAAUUGGAAUCAAUGAAUUAAUCAGUCAAGAAAAACUACAUGAAUUUACAAAGUAAAAUCAUUUUCUUUGAUGAAUUGUUACUUUGAUUUUUUAACUGGGUAGAUGAGGAUGGGCCCAUUGCUGGUGUCUGUAAGAAUACUGCCAAAGACUUCUUCAGCAAAAUUGUGAAUUUUGCUUUUGGGUACAAGAAGAUUUAGCCAUGGAUGCGGAACUUCCCACACGCCUUUGGACCAUAGUUUGAUCUCAGACACAUGAACCCUAUCCAAGAAUUCAAUGUAUGAAACUUCUGAUAGAAAAAGUGUUGAUGGGAUAUAUCUUAAUUGAGAUAACAAUUUCAUUACUUCCUGCAAGAUAAAAGAAAAUACAAGUGCUGGUUCUAGUGAUAUUCUUGCCCUUGUUAUGAUGCCAAACUGACCAAGUCCUCCAAGAACACUGUGGAAUAGGUCACCAUUCUGAUUCUCUGAGCAAUUCACUACCUCGCCUUUCCCUGCACUCAGUUUCAUUCUAUUUAUGUAAGAAUUUAAGCUAUGCACAGGAUAUGUGUGUUUAUUACAUACACAGGCAUAUGUGCACACACACACAUACGUAUGUAUGUACACACACACACACACACACACACACACACACACACACAUAUAUAUAUAUUUCAUUGAAAAUAAAAUUGUGGUGAAUGGUGGAAAUAUAUUCUAAUGGAACCAAGGUCUAGCACCACGUGCAUGACUAGUAAUCAUGCCAAUGUCAUGGAUGUUUGACCUUUUGAUUUUUGGUUUCAUUACUAAUUCUGCAAAUUAUCACUUGAUGUGUAUGUAUAUUAUCACCAUUUUAUAUGCCCACAAUUUGCUUUUACUAACCUGUAACAACUUCCAGUUGAUAGACAUUACUUAUUUGUGGGCCAUACCGAAAUGCCUGCCCGCUAAUCCCAGCAUUGGACAAAGUACCACCAACAGUUAAAUGUAGGUAGUCUGUCCAUGAUUUUGGUGCUAACCCAUAUUUCAGGCUUUCAUGCAGGAUAUUUAUCCAUAACUCACCACCAGAGACAUCAACAUAUGAAUAAUUUCCAGAAUGAACAUGCAUUUUAGGUCCCUGGAGAGAUCCCAUGUUGAUGACAACUCCUCGGUGGGCUUGAGCCUGACCCUGGAGAGAGUGGCCAUGACCUCUAGCUGCAACUGUGAGCUGUGAAUGAGGACCCAUCUGCCAAAUAUGUUUUAUUGUAGUAGCAAUGUCAGAAACUGACCUCGGAUGUAGUACUGCGAAAGGGAGCAACUGAAAUCUAUUGCCGAAGUCUUUGGCUGCAUGGUGAACAUCAUCAAAAGUAAAAUGGCCAUCAAUAGAAAGUGUUUUCAGGGAAGAAUAGUUGCUGGAAAAACACAGGUUUAUUCUUAUAGUCAUGCAGCUUAAGAGUAAGAUCAUGAAACUUUUAAUGAAAAGCAUAUUAUUUUGUUUGUGGAAGCUAAUGGAUGGGCAUCUCAUCUUGUGGUUGGAGAAGUUGGGAGGGAACUGAGGGGAAAAGUUGUUUAAGCUGGUAAUUGUUGUUUCUUUGUGAGCAAAAGCAAAAGGAGAGUUAAGGAAGAGCCGGGGAAAUGAAUGGUCAAGAAGAGAAUUUAAAGAAUGGCUGAGUCAACCAAUAUUCAGUUGUGAGAAUCCGUAUGAAGACUGCCUACUUGGGUGCAGGAGUUUUAGGAUUUUACCUUUCUUUCUCCUUGUUGAGGUCUUCUUAUUAUUUAUAAGAGAAACCAUCACACAUAUGCCAAGUUGAAUAGAAAAAGUUACAAGAAAGAAAGAUUACACAAAUCUUUACACUUUUUCCAAACAGUUGCAACCACAAUCCCACCUUCUCCACCAGAGACAAACAUGUCUCCAAAGUUUUUAUCCUCAACCAUGUUAAGGAUACUUCUCCUAUUUUUAGAAAAAAUAGAUGACUUUGCCAGUAGUAGCCGUAUCUCUCUGCCUUCACUAUCAGGUAUGCCCAUACCCCAGACUUGCACAUUUAAAUGAUGAUAAAUUAUGUUCUUGAAUCUAUAGCUGUCGGAAUGUGAGCAUCGCGUAUCUACUCUGAGAUCAGGUGAGAGGGACUUUGGGACCUCUCCUUUAAUUUAUUUAAACAAAGUGACACCCAGGUGGGGUAUUGAUGGGUCCAUAAGGCACGUGAAAUUCAAAUGCUUAUGUGCUUUAUGGGGUGAAAGGUUAUUGUUGGCUAUGUUGGGACCCUUUUGGGGCCAUUGUGAACGGGCAAGAAGGAAAGGAGAGUAGUGAAGAUGGGGAUUGGCGAUGACAGCUUGGAGGAAGCAAUGAAAGGCUUCUCUUCCUCCUAUAUCUGCUGCUUAUUGUUUUGAAGCCUUAGUUCCCAUCAAUUGGAAAAAAUCUGUAUGAUUCUCAUGUUUAUAUGCUCCUAAGUGCAAUUAUUGUCCUUUAACCUUUUGUAACAAGUUGCCAUAAGUGGGAGACUUGCAGCUCCAUAGGGAAGCAUCUUCACUGCCCUUAGUAUAGUGAAUGCAUGUUUAAGUGGUUAUGCAUUGAAAAGGUGAAAAGCAUUGUUGAGAAGGGGAAAACAGUAUUCAAGUGUUCUCUUCUUUUUUUAUUUUAGAAAAAAAAAAAACUGAAAAAAGGGCUAGUAUUAUGUGUUAAUUACUGUUUCUCCAGUCCAGGGCCAUUGGUCAAGCAUUUAUCUUCCUGAUUUCAGUCACCUCCGUAAGGCGUAUUGAUCAUUGGAUAUUGUUGGGAGACGUCGAUCCGUUCCUGCAAGAUUACAGCGGUUAUCAGUCUUUAGACUCAGUUUGCAGAGUCCGGUCAAAGCAGCAAAAUUAAUGUUUAAACAUCACAAGUUGUUAGAUUCUCUGGCCUUGCGCAAGAUUACAUAUACAUAGAGAGAGCUAGCUAACCCAAACCCACAAGAAUGUGCAAGAGAACAAGUCCCCUUCAGGAUGCCCAUUUUGACUGGUUCAAGUUGUUUAGGGAACCCAAAUUCUUCCAUGAGGAAAACAAAAAAAUUGUAAUUGAAAAUGACAUGAGAACAAUGAUACGAGGAGGAAAACAACAAAGACUACAUUGACAAAAUCAUCCACUAACUAGUUAGCUUGUUACUUUGAACUUCCAGGAGUGGAUUUUUAAAAAAAAAAAAUAAGAAUUAGGCAUUGCCACCAAACAUGUGUCCUUAUUGGGACUAUGGUCUUCUUUAUGUGAUUAUAAUAUCAAAAGAUUGAUGUU